UGGCGAACGGGUGAGUAACACGUGGGUAAUCUGCCCUGCACUCUGGGAUAAGCCUGGGAAACUGGGUCUAAUACUGGAUAUGACCUUUCUCCUUAUGGGGUUUGGUGGAAAGUUUUUCGGUGUAGGAUGAGCCCGCGGCCUAUCAGCUUGUUGGUGGGGUGAUGGCCUACCAAGGCGACGAUGGGUAGCCGGCCUGAGAGGGUGAUCGGCCACAUUGGGACUGAGAUACGGCCCAG
rnacentral:rRNA from 1 species